rnacentral:tRNA from 1 species
GCAGUGGUGGUUCAGUGGUAGAAUUCUUGCCUUCCAUGCAGGAGACAUGGGUUAGACGCCUGGCCAAUGCA